UCUGCAGGGCCGUGCUGUGCAUGGAGUUUAGACACUACCGAAGUUGUUGCUGAGCACGCUGCGGCAUGUCUGCGAGCAAGAGGAAGAGCAGAGGGAAGCCCGGCUCCUUGGGCGCUUCUCCGGGGCCCGCCGCUGCCGGCAGCCAGCCCUCUCUGUUUAACGUUACCGACUUCUUAGAGAAAGAGGAGGACAAGGUGCCGAACGCUUACAGAUGCUCCUUUCUACAGCUUGGAAUCAGCAGCAUGAGGUCAGCGGGUCUGUGCAUCGGACGGCCUGCUCUACUCACCAGCGCAGAAGGCAGACAGGAGGUGUGCACUGCAUGGCCAGUCAGUGGCUUUCCUUCCGGAAAGGUUGGGAUAGCUUCCACUGCUCAGAAGAAUCUCAAGGUGAAGCCGGGUGAUUCCGUUCACAUUCAGCCUGUGACCGGACAUGUGUUACAAGCAGAGGAGUUAGAAGUCACACUUAGGGAGAAGGAUGCCAGUGCUGUCAAGGUUGAAGAGCUGUCUUCUUUUCUGCUGAGGGUCAUGGAUGGAAAAAUAGUUUUACCUGGAAACCUCCUAAACCUGAGUUUCUACGGAAGAUCUUGCAGCUUGCAAGUGGCCAGCAUAAAAGGACCUGAUGGUGGUGUGCAAGGACCAUGUGACAGUAACACACAUGAAUCCACUGUUGACCACAGCAAUGUGGACUCUAGCAGUUUGGACUUGUCAUUACAGCUCAGCUCACUAGAUAUUGAGGACCGGCAGGAUAUGGCUGUUACUAGUACACCAAGCAAAGCUGGGGAAAGCAAGUCUCCCCUUCCUUCUUCAUAUUCCGAGGCUCUAAUGGAAGAUCAGAGCAUAGGAGAGCCUUGCCAAGAGACUCCUCAGAGUCCCCUCUGUGUCCUAUCUGGUACCAGUGAUGACAGUGCUGGAGGGUCUCCACAUAGGAAAGCUGGACUUAGAUGCAGUACAGAUAUGUUUUAUUAUAUUUCUCCUCUAACUCGAGUCAAAUGUAAAAGUCCAAAAGUACUUUCAGAAACGGAAGAUGGUUCAAAGAGCAAAAUUACUUAUGAUAUGAUUGGUGGUUUACAGAGCCAACUGGAAGAAAUCAGGGAAACAAUAGAGCUGCCACUGAAGCAGCCUGAACUGUUUAAGGCCUAUGGAAUUCCUCCUCCGCGUGGAGUAUUACUGUAUGGGCCUCCCGGGACUGGCAAAACCCUGAUAGCUCGGGCAAUUGCUAAUGAAGUUGGUGCUCAUGUUUCAGUUAUCAAUGGUCCGGAAAUAAUGAGCAAAUUUUACGGAGAGUCGGAAGGCAGGCUGCGUCAAAUAUUUGCUGAAGCAUCACAACGUCUGCCUUCCAUUAUAUUCAUCGAUGAACUUGAUGCACUUUGCCCAAAAAGAGAAGUGGCGCAGAGUGAAGUGGAGAAAAGGGUGGUCGCAUCAUUACUCACACUUAUGGAUGGCAUAGGCUCGGAAGAAAGUCAGGGCCAGCUGCUGGUUCUGGGUGCAACCAAUCGUCCUCAUUCAUUGGACCCUGCAUUACGUCGCCCUGGACGAUUUGACAAAGAAAUAGAAAUUGGUAUUCCCAAUGCUCAGGGGCGCCUGGACAUUCUCCGACGUAUACUCGUCAAAGUCCCACAUCAGCUGAACGAAGAGGAACUUGCAGAUUUAGCCAGCAGUGCCCAUGGCUAUGUGGGUGCAGACUUAGCAGCUCUGUGCAAAGAAGCAGGUUUGAAAGCUCUGAGGAGAAAACUAGAAGAAAUGUGCAACCCAUCAGACACUGAAGUGGCUGGCUCAGUGGUAAUCACUCUGAAUGAUUUCCUGCAGGCGAUGAAUGAUGUCAGGCCCAGUGCCAUGCGGGAGGUGGCCGUGGAUGUGCCUAAUGUAUCAUGGUCUGACAUUGGAGGGUUGGAAAAUGUUAAGCUUAAACUGAAGCAGGCGGUAGAAUGGCCAUUGAAGCACCCUGACGCCUUUACUAGAAUGGGAAUACAGCCACCAAAGGGAGUAUUGCUUUAUGGACCCCCAGGCUGCUCCAAAACCAUGAUUGCAAAGGCUUUAGCAACCGAAAGUGGACUGAAUUUCCUGACGGUGAAGGGUCCAGAACUGAUGAAUAAAUAUGUUGGUGAAUCAGAAAGGGCGGUUCGUGAGAUAUUCAGGAAAGCAAGAGCAGUUUCUCCAGCCAUUCUCUUCUUUGAUGAAAUAGAUGCUUUGGCUGUUGAGAGAGGAAGCUCUGGAGCUGGGAAUGUAGCGGACCGGGUUAUAGCUCAACUUUUGACAGAAAUGGAUGGAAUAGAACAACUGAAGGAUGUGGUGAUAUUGGCAGCUACAAAUCGCCCUGAUUUAAUAGACAAGAUAUUUGUACAUCUUGUCCUGUAGUCAACAUGCCCCUCAUAAAGCUACGUCAAUGGAAAAUAAAUGUUAUGUCUCGGAAAGCAGAGAUGAAAAAAAGGAAAUACAAAACAUGUUAUAAAGCUCAAAAUUUGCUGUGGCAGCAGGUCCUCAAAGCCAUCUGCCUAAUAUUCUGUUGGUGCCCCCCAAACUCUUACCUUUGAGGCAUGGACACAAAACUUCUGAGGGUGUCCUCUGGUAUCUGGCAUCAAGAUGUUAGAAAUAGAAGCCUCCAUGGAUCAUGCUUGUUUUCCCAGCACAUCCCACAGUUGCUCAAUCAGAUUGAGAAUUGGAGAAUUCGGAGGCCAAGUCAACUUAAUAUAUUUUGAAAUCAUGUUCCUCAGACAAGUUCUAAACAAUUUUUGCAGAGUGGCAUUGUGCAUUAUUCUGCUGAAAAAGGACACUGACAUAAAGGAAUACUGUUGCCAUGAACGGGUGUACUUGUCUGCCACAAGAGGCCUGAGGAAGCGCAAUAGCACUAAACAGCCGUCACCACUAGCUGGUUGCCUGUACUGUACAUUUGUCCACCCCUCCUGUAUUUACGAUUACGUUAUGUCCGAAUAAAAGAAGAAUACACUUGAGUGGCUCUCAUGCGUCCAGGACGUAUUGACAGAAUCAUUUUUGUGCCAUUGCCGGAUGCUGCCACACGCCGGGAAAUCUUUAGACUCCGUUUCCAGAGUAUGCCUAUUGAUCAGGAGGUCAAUUUAGAUCA